GUGAGGAAUAUUGGUCAAUGGGCGAGAGCCUGAACCAGCCAAGUCGCGUGAAGGAAGAAGGAUCUAUGGUUCGUAAACUUCUUUUGCAGGGGAAUAAAGUGCAGGACGUGUUCUGUUUUGUAUGUACCCUGAGAAUAAGGAUCGGCUAACUCCGUGCCAGCAGCCGCGGUAAUACGGAGGAUCCGAGCGUUAUCCGGAUUUAUUGGGUUUAAAGGGUGCGUAGGUGGUUUGAUAAGUCAGAGGUGAAAGUUUGCAGCUUAACUGUAAAAAUGCCGUUGAAACUGUCGGACUUGAGUGUAAAUGAGGUAGGCGGAAUGCGUGGUGUAGCGGUGAAAUGCAUAGAUAUCACGCAGAACUCCGAUUGCGAAGGCAGCUUACUAAGCUACAACUGACACUGAAGCACGAAAGCGUGGGGAUCAAACAGGAUUAGAUACCCUAGUAGUCC
rnacentral:rRNA from 1 species